rnacentral:rRNA from 1 species
AUUGAACGCUGGCGGAAUGCUUUACACAUGCAAGUCGAACGGCAGCACGGACUUCGGUCUGGUGGCGAGUGGCGAACGGGUGAGUAAUGCAUCGGAACGUGCCCAGUCGUGGGGGAUAACGUAGUGAAAAUUACGCUAAUACCGCAUACGAUCUAUGGAUGAAAGCGGGGGAUCGCAAGACCUCACGCGAUUGGAGCGGCCGAUAUCAGAUUAGGUAGUUGGUGGGGUAAAGGCCCACCAAGCCAACGAUCUGUAGCGGGUCUGAGAGGACGACCAGCCACACUGGAACUGGGACACGGUCCAGACUCCUACGGGAGGCAGCAGUGGGGGAUUUUGGACAAUGGGCGAAAGCCUGAUCCAGCCAUUCCGCGUGCAGGAUGAAGGCCCUCGGGUUGUAAACUGCUUUUGUACAGAACGAAAAGGUUUCUACUAAUACUAGGAGCUCAUGACGGUACUGUAAGAAUAAGCACCGGCUAACUACGUGCCAGCCGCCGCGGUAA